rnacentral:rRNA from 1 species
UACGUAGGUGGCAAGCGUUGUUCGGAAUAACUGGGCGUAAAGGAUGCGUAGGCGGUUAAACAAGUUAUAUGUUAAAUAUAUAGGCUUAACCUGUAGAAAGCAUAUAAAACUGUUUAACUAGAGUGCAGGAGAGGUAAGUGGAAUUCCUAGUGUAGCGGUGAAAUGCGUAGAGAUUAGGAAGAACACCAGUGGCGAAGGCGACUUACUGGACUGUAACUGACGCUGAGGCAUGAGAGCAUGAGGAGCAAACAGG